UGCUGAUACGGUCUGGAUACGGAAAAGCCACCCCGACUAGAAAUAAGCCCAGCCCACGAGAACCACAGGCACGGCCGCUGGACGCCGCCGCCGGACCUCCGUCGCCGGAACUCUGCCGCCGGACCGCCGCCGCUCCUUCCUCUGCAGCUUCCAGGCCAUGGAGGAGUAGAGAGGCCUUAUUUGUGCUACUGCUAGUUGCUGCAGUUUUUGACAACCUUAAGUCCUUAAUUAGCUAUUGGACGUCUGCCUGACUGAGUGACUGUCUGCUGUUAUUUUGUGAAUUCGUGGCCUUGUGGGUUGUAUGAAUGUAGGGGUGAACUUGUGAUCUUUUGGACCAUUGCCUCUUUUUAAUGUUAAUUGUUUAUCUUCUGUAUUCA